GCUUAACACAUGCAAGUCGAGCGGAGAUUGCAUUUAUGUAAUCUUAGCGGCGGACGGGUGAGUAACGCGUAGGCAACCUGCCUUGCACAGAGGGAUAACACCGGGAAACUGGUGCUAAUACCACAUGAUAUCAUAACAAGGCAUCUUGAAAUGAUCAAAGGAGAAAUCCGGUGCAAGAUGGGCCUGCGUCCGAUUAGUUAGUUGGUGAGGUAACGGCUCACCAAGGCGACGAUCGGUAGCCGAACUGAGAGGUUGAUCGGCCACAUUGGGACUGAGACACGGCCCAGACUCCUACGUGUGAGUGCAGNCAGUGGGGAAUAUUGCGCAAUGGGGGGAACCCUGACGCACAACGCCGCGUGAAGAAGAAGCUUCGGUUGUAAACUUUUUGAUUUGGGGACAGAAAAAAAUGACGGUACCCAAGUGAACCAAGCCACGGCUAACUACGUGCCAGCAGCCGCGGUAAUACGUAGGUGGCGAGCGUUGUCCGGAAUUACUGGGUGUAAAGGGCGUGUAGGCGGGAUUGUAAGUCAGAUGUGAAAUUCCAGGGCUUAACUCUGGAGGUGCAUCUGAAACUAUAAUUCUUGAGUGCUGGAGAGGAAAGCGGAAUUCCUAGUGUAGCGGUGAAAUGCGUAGAUAUUAGGAAGAACACCAGUGGCGAAGGCGGCUUUCUGGACAGUAACUGACGCUGAGGCGCGAAAGCGUGGGGAGCAAACAGGAUUAGAUACCCUGGUAGUCCACGCUGUAAACGAUGGAUACUAGGUGUAGGAGGUAUCGACCCCUUCUGUGCCGGAGUUAACACAAUAAGUAUCCCACCUGGGGAGUACGCCGCAAGGCUGAACUCAAAGGAAUUGACGGGGGCCCGCACAAGCAGUGGAGUAUGUGGUUUAAUUCGAAGCAACGCGAAGAACCUUACCAGGGCUUGACAUCCCUCGGAUAACAUAGAGAUAUGUUAGUCCUUCGGGACGAGGAGACAGGUGGUGCAUGGUUGUCGUCAGCUCGUGUCGUGAGAUGUUGGGUUUAAGUCCCGCAACGAGCGCAACCCCCUAUUGUUAGUUGCCAUCAUUAAGUUGGGCACUCUAACGAGACUGCCGGUGACAAAUCGGAGGAAGGUGGGGACGAACGUCAAAUCAUCAUGC
rnacentral:rRNA from 1 species